rnacentral:rRNA from 1 species
AACGAACGUUAGCGGCGCGCCUAACACAUGCAAGUCGCACGAGAAAGGGGGCAACCCCCGGUAAAGUGGCGCACGGGUGAGUAACACGUAGGUAAUCUGCCCUCGAGUGGGGGAUAACCUUCCGAAAGGAGGGCUAAUACCGCAUGAGACCACGAGGUCGAGAGGCCAUGAGGUCAAAGCCGGCCACUUCACGAAAGCUGGCGCUUGAGGAUGAACCUGCGGCCCAUCAGCUAGUUGGUAGGGUAACGGCCUACCAAGGCAAAGACGGGUAGCUGGUCUGAGAGGAUGAUCAGCCACACUGGAACUGAGACACGGUCCAGACUCCUACGGGAGGCAGCAGUGGGGAAUCUUGCGCAAUGGGCGAAAGCCUGACGCAGCGACGCCGCGUGGGUGAUGAAGGCCUCGGUUGUAAGACCUCGUGGAGGGGACGGAAGUAAGUACGGAGGUUAA